rnacentral:tRNA from 1 species
ACGGAUGUGGUGAAAAUGGAAAACACACUAGAUUUAGGAUCUAGGUACUAUUAUAGUAUUAAGGGUUCGAAUCCCUUCAUCCGUA